UCCGCCCUGGUGUAAUGGCAGCACAGCGGCCUUUGGAGCCGUAAGGUCUAGGUUCGAAUCCUAGGGGCGGAG
rnacentral:tRNA from 1 species